rnacentral:tRNA from 1 species
GGAAGCAUUGAGUAAUUGGUUGGCUCGCCUGACUGUAAAUCAGGUCUUUUAAAGCGUGUAGGUUCAAAUCCUACUGCUUCCA